UCCCUGGUAGUCCAAUGGCCAAGACUCCAUGCUCCCAAUGCAGAGGGCCUGGGUUCAAUCCCUGGUCAGGGAG
rnacentral:tRNA from 1 species